rnacentral:rRNA from 1 species
CAGGAUCAACGCUGGCGGCGUGCCUAAUGCAUGCAAGUCGCACGGGGUGGUCUUCGGAUCACUUACGUGGCGGACGGGUGAGGAACACGUGGGUAACCUGCCCGGUGGUGGGGGCUAGCCUUCGGAAACGGAGGGUAAUUCCGCAUGAGCUCGGGGGCCGAGUGGGGUCGCUGAGGAAAGCUCGCAAGAGCGCCGCUGGAGGGGUCUGCGUCCGAUUAGUUAGUUGGUGGGGUAAUGGCUCACCAAGGCGAUGAUCGGUAGCUGGUUUGAGAGGAUGAUCAGCCACACGGGGACUGAGACACGGCCCCGAC